rnacentral:rRNA from 1 species
UAUUGGACAAUGGGGGGAACCCUGAUCCAGCGACGCCGCGUGAGUGAAGAAGUAUCUCGGUAUGUAAAGCUCUAUCAGCAGGGAAGAACAAAUGACGGUACCUGCGUAAGAAGCCCCGGCUAACUACGUGCCAGCAGCCGCGGUAAUACGUAGGGGGCAAGCGUUAUCCGGAAUUACUGGGUGUAAAGGGAGCGUAGACGGCAGCACAAGUCUGGAGUGAAAUGCCGGGGCUUAACCCCGGAACUGCUUUGGAAACUGUGCAGCUAGAGUGCAGGAGAGGUAAGUGGAAUUCCUAGUGUAGCGGUGAAAUGCGUAGAUAUUAGGAGGAACACCAGUGGCGAAGGCGGCCUGCUGGACGGUGACUGACGCUGAGGCUCGAAAGCGUGGGGAGCAAACAGG